GAUGAACGCUGGCGGCGUGCCUAACACAUGCAAGUCGAGCGAUUCUCUUCGGAGAAGAGCGGCGGACGGGUGAGUAACGCGUGGGUAACCUGCCCUGUACACACGGAUAACAUACCGAAAGAUAUGCUAAUACAAGAUAAUAUACUUUUAUCGCAUGGUAGAAGUAUCAAAGCUCCGGCGGUACAAGAUGGACCCGCGUCUGAUUAGCUAGUUGGUAAGGUAACGGCUUACCAAGGCGACGAUCAGUAGCCGACCUGAGAGGGUGCUCGGCCACAUUUGAACUGCGACACGGUCCAAACUCCUACGGGAGGCAGCAGUGGGGAAUAUUGCACAAUGGGCGAAAGCCUGAUGCAGCAACGCCGCGUGAGCGAUGAAGGCCUUCGGGUCGUAAAGCUCUGUCCUCAAGGAAGAUAAUGACGGUACUUGAGGAGGAAGCCCCGGCUAACUACGUGCCAGCCGCCGCAGUAA
rnacentral:rRNA from 1 species